ACAGCAGUAGCCGCGGUAAUUCGUAGGGUGCAAGCGUUAAUCGGAAUUACUGGGCGUAAAGCGUGCGCAGGCGGUUAUAUAAGUCAGAUGUGAAAUCCCCGGGCUCAACCUGGGAACUGCAUUUGAGACUGUAUGGCUAGAGUGUGUCAGAGGGGGGUAGAAUUCCACGUGUAGCAGUGAAAUGCGUAGAUAUGUGGAGGAAUACCGAUGGCGAAGGCAGCCCCCUGGGAUAACACUGACGCUCAUGCACGAAAGCGUGGGGAGCAAACAGGAUUAGAUACCCCAGUAGUCCCUGUCUCUUAUAC
rnacentral:rRNA from 1 species